GAGGUGGCCCAAGAGACUGCCCUUUAAAGGGAGGAAAGUCCGGCCACCCAUUUGGAGCUGGCGAAAGCCAGAAAAAAGUAAUUUUUUCUAGGAAUCACAGAGACGAAGUAAGGUGAAACGUAUCUAAUAGCCAAGAAAAUCUUUUCUUGGUUAUUAGAUGAAAGCUUUAGGGUGACCUAAAGCUUUUGGUUCCUAGCUCUUGGGUGCAAGGCCGUGUAGCUUUUAAGCUACGAGCCGCUUGAGUUAAAAAGUAAUUUUUAACCCAGAGUUAUAGUCUCAUAAACAGAAGCCGGCUUAUGGGCCACCUCAGUA
rnacentral:RNase_P_RNA from 1 species